AGCAGUCGCCGCGGUAAUACAGAGGAUGCAAGCGUUAUCCGGAAUGAUUGGGCGUAAAGCGUCUGUAGGUGGCUUUUCAAGUCCGCCGUCAAAUCCCCGGGCUCAACCCUGGACAGGCAGUGGAAACUACCAAGCUGGAGUACGGUAGGGGCAGAGGGAAUUUCCGGUGUAGCAGUGAAAUGCGUAGAGAUCGGAAGGAACAUCUGUGGCGAAGGCGACUAUCUGGGCCAACACUGACACUGAGGCACGAAAGCGUGGGGAGCAAACAGGAUUAGAUACCCCAGUAGUCCCUGUCUCUUAUAC
rnacentral:rRNA from 1 species